CAUAUUCUUACAUACAAAAGGAAUUAUUCUCUCAUCCAAAAAGUACCUGAGAAUAGGCACGUAUGUAUGCUUGUAUUUCUCUAAAUUUAUAAAUCUAUGGAGCUACCUUGCUUGCUUGUUUGGCUAAAAUUGGUAUGUGCGUUCGAAUAUUCUUCUGGUAAUUGCUCACUUGACCACAACCUACAGCCGCAUAUACGAUAUAUAUAUAUGUAUGUAUAUAUGUGUGUGAAUUUGUUACAGAGGAAGCAUUCACAAACUUGAGAUUGCUUUCUUGUUCUUCUUCCUUUUUUUUUUUUUCUUUAAACUUCACUACGGCAAUGGGAGAUUUCUCUAGAGACUAGAAGUGGAAGAGGAGAACGACUGUAAAGUUGUGUAUGGGAAACUGCCCUGGAAGUUACACAUUGAACCACAAUUGUCCAAACAAUUAUUAAGGUCCUAGACGAUAAUUCUGAGGAUUUCAGUUUGGACAUGGAUUAUAACUGUGUCGCUACUUACAGUGAGAUAACUGUAAAGUCCAUGUAACAAUUUGGGGUAUCUUCCUCAAUGUUUACAUUAAAGUUCAUAAACUUCAUGAAUGAUUAACUCUUCGGAAAUGGCAUCAGUAUUCGUCAUGUAUGUUGAUCAUUUUUCUGGUGCAAUGUGGAAUGAUCGACUAAAUAUAGUGCAACAAUAAAAUGUCAAUGUCUGAAUUGAGAGAAUGCUUCUGAUCUUGCCAUUCCGCUGAAUCAAAGUUUCAUAAGCUUAGUCUGAUUUUCAGUUGUUUCAUCUUAAUUUUUGUUGCUACAUAACUGGUGUUAAAUUCGGUAUUCUAAUCAUUUAUAGGUUAUAUAUGCAGCGGCAAAAAUAAUCGUACCUCUUCGGUUCUCUCAUGGCUCACUAAAUGGCCUCCAUUAAGUUCAACCAUUCUUGACCAUGGGUAACAUUUCUCUGCUAAUCGUUUUGCAUGGCGUAAUUGGGCAAUGACAUCGUGUCUACAGAAACAGAACUUUAGUCAGUCAUCGUAGUAAUUGGAUUAUAUAAUCAGCAAGAUAAAUUGGAAGUUCUUAUAAUUCUAGAAUUACCUGCCAUGAAUUACUGAUAUGGGAAAUCCAGCCACUCGGAUCGACUCUAUUUCACUUCGUGAUAAUUUAUGAGUCCAACAAGCAUUAACCUGACCGUCAAAUCCAUGCCUCGACUGCAUACCAGUUGAGGAUAUGCCCUUUACAUAUUCCUGCAGAUUUGUAUUAGUGAGAAUGUUGUUCUUUAAAAUUCACACUAAUCAUAGGCCCUAGCAUUUGUUCGUUUCUUUAGAAAUCAGUCAAGAUAAUCGGAAGAUGCUUUUUUGAAGGUAUUACUGAUACAUUGUAUGUUGUAACCAUAGUGAAAAUAACAAACAAUGUGCAUUGAUGAUUUUUCCA